rnacentral:rRNA from 1 species
GAUGAACGCUGGCGGCGUGCCUAAUACAUGCAAGUCGAGCGAAUGGAUUAAGAGCUUGCUCUUAUGAAGUUAGCGGCGGACGGGUGAGUAACACGUGGGUAACCUGCCCAUAAGACUGGGAUAACUCCGGGAAACCGGGGCUAAUACCGGAUAACAUUUUGAACCGCAUGGUUCGAAAUUGAAAGGCGGCUUCGGCUGUCACUUAUGGAUGGACCCGCGGCGCAUUAGCUAGUUGGUGAGGUAACGGCUCACCAAGGCAACGAUGCGUAGCCGACCUGGGAGGGUGAUCGGCCACACUGGGACUGAGACACGGCCCAGACUCCGACGGGAGGCAGCAGUAGGGAAUCUUCCGCAAUGGACGAAAGUCUGACGGAGCAACGCCGCGUGAGUGAUGAAGGCUUUCGGGUCGUAAAACUCUGUUGUUAGGGAAGAACAAGUGCUAGUUGAAUAAGCUGGCACCUUGACGGUACCUAACCAGAAAGCCACGGUUAACUACGUGCCAGCCGCCGCAGUAA